CCUACGGGAGGCUGCAGUGAGGAAUAUUGGUCAAUGGACGAGAGUCUGAACCAGCCAAGUAGCGUGAAGGAUGACUGCCCUAUGGGUUGUAAACUUCUUUUAUAUGGGAAUAAAAUGUUCCACGUGUGGGAUUUUGUAUGUACCAUAUGAAUAAGGAUCGGCUAACUCCGUGCCAGCAGCCGCGGUAAUACGGAGGAUCCGAGCGUUAUCCGGAUUUAUUGGGUUUAAAGGGAGCGUAGGUGGAUUGUUAAGUCAGUUGUGAAAGUUUGUGGCUCAACCGUAAAAUUGCAGUUGAAACUGGCAGUCUUGAGUACAGUAGAGGUGGGCGGAAUUCGUGGUGUAGCGGUGAAAUGCUUAGAUAUCACGAAGAACUCCGAUUGCGAAGGCAGUUCACUGGACUGCAACUGACACUGAGGCUCGAAAGUGUGGGUAUCAAACAGGAUUAGAUACCCUUGUAGUC
rnacentral:rRNA from 1 species